rnacentral:rRNA from 1 species
AGAUUGAACGCUGGCGGCAUGCCUAACACAUGCAAGUCGAACGGGAGUAGCAAUACUCUAGUGGCGGACGGGUGAGGAAUACGUAGGAAUUUGCCCUUAAGUGGGGGAUAACCCGGGGAAACCCGGAUUAAUACCGCAUGACCUCGAAAGAGCAAGGUGGGGGAUCGCAAGACCUCACGCUUUUGGAGAAGCCUACGUCGGAUUAGCUAGUUGGUGAGGUAAUGGCUCACCAAGGCGACGAUCCGUAACUGGUCUGAGAGGAUGAUCAGUCACACCGGAACUGAGACACGGUCCGGACUCCGUACGGGAGGCAGCAGUGGGGAAUAGUUGGACAAUGAGCGCAAGCCUGAUCCAGCAAGU